rnacentral:rRNA from 1 species
AUUGAACGCUGGCGGCAUGCUUUACACAUGCAAGUCGAACGGCAGCACGAAAGAGCUUGCUCUUUUGGUGGCGAGUGGCGAACGGGUGAGUAAUGCAUCGGAACGUACCGAGUAAUGGGGGAUAACUGCCCGAAAGGAUAGCUAAUACCGCAUACGCUUUGAGAAGGAAAGUGGGGGCUCUUCGGACCUCACGUUAUUCGAGCGGCCGAUGUCUGAUUAGCUAGUUGGUGGGGUAAAGGCCUACCAAGGCGACGAUCAGUAGCGGGUCUGAGAGGAUGAUCCGCCACACUGGGACUGAGACACGGCCCAGACUCCUACGGGAGGCAGCAGUGGGGAAUUUUGGACAAUGGGCGCAAGCCUGAUCCAGCCAUGCCGCGUGUCUGAAGAAGGCCUUCGGGUUGUAAAGGACUUUUGUUAGGGAAGAAAAGGAUAGUGUUAAUACCAUUAUCUGCUGACGGUACCUAAAGAAUAAGCACCGGCUAACUACGUG